CAAAGGUGUGGAAUUCUGGGGCCAAGCCCAGCAGGCCAUGGAGGUGGUUGGUGGCAGUGCCAUGGGUUCAGGUUGUGCUGGAGGGUGUGCAGUGUGUCCUGACCAAGGGCUCCCAGUGCUUGCACACAGACAUAGUGGCGGGCUUUUGGAGGUAGGCGGCGAUAUAUAACCAUAUUUUUGAGAUUAGAAUCUUCAGAAAGAUAAGUUAGUUGGGACUGUGAGGAUAUGAAACUCCUCUGGUAAUUAGACUGGAUGGGAUUUCAUCUUACAGUCCGUUUCAGAGACUGGUUUUGUUGCUCACAAGUGAGAUGUAGCGGAGCCAUUUGCAAGCAAGGUAGCAAAUGUAUUUCACAAGAUUAUGAAUUGUCACAUCUGCAACUCCUCUACUGUAAAAUUUGAUCUUGCAUUUAAAGCUAUGAAGAUGACAAGAAAUAAAUCCCAAAAGCGCUUAUGCAAAUGGAAAUGUCUUGUGCUUGAUUGAUGAGCAUGGAGACUAAAAUUCUCAGUCUAAUGGAAUGGAAGUGUCUUGGGCAUGCUUUGUAAAUCUAUCCUGAUUCCCAUUCUUUACCCCCAUUGCAUUGCCAUUGUGCCUCAAAUGUGACUUAGGUGGAUAAAUGUCUAGGAGACAUUUCCUUCUCAAGUGAUGUUUCUUCUCUCACAGUUGUUCCUUGGCCUCUCUGAAGAAAUGGUCAAUAAGGGCACAAAGCAGUGCCAGUUCAAUUUGCAGUUUCACAAGUGUAUGUUCUGGUUUUUUCAAUUAAGACUGCCAGCAAUUUUUAGACAAUGAGAGACUUUAACCAUCAGAUCAUUGCUGUUCAGGUGUACACUGAGAGGUCAGAGGAUCCAUACUCCAUUUGUAAUUUCAAGUAGUUGUCAAGAACUACUUGGUCCUGGGAGGUACUGUGUAUUGAAAUGCUUCCUGGAGCACUUCUGGAAAAGCCAAGAGCAUGUAAAUGAGCUGUAUGCAGGGAUGAAGUGGUUACAGAUGAUCCAGGACAUGUUAGUGUUAUUAUGAGGGAUGAACAGCACUGACUUUUCUCCGGAAGCGCUCAAGUGUUGUAAUCCAACUUCCCAGAGAUGUGUCCAGAUUCAUAAGUGCUGCCUGAGAAGCUACUUUGCUGUGGCUGAAUUGCUGAAGAAAGUAACUUUCUGCUUUCUUGGCUGCUUGCAGAAUUCAAAAUGCUCACUGUUGCUUGCUUUAACUCUUGAGAAUUUGACUGUACCUUAAAAGUAUUUGGUCAGUGAAGCAUCACCCCUGCCUCAGUCUCACAUGCUGGUAGCUCUGUCAAGGCUCCUAGCUGUUGAUACUUUAGUGAGCCAAAAUGGCAGAGAAUGUCUGUGUUAAUGAAAUGGGAGAAGGAGAGACUUUUAUGAGUUUAUGAUUUAAUGCCUAUGAAAUAAAAAUCCACUUCCAAAGCCUAAUGGUGUUUUGCAAAGACUGUACUGUAUAAUCCGGUUAAUAUUGGGAAGACUGGCCCCUUUGAACAGUAUUUCUUGUGUUGGAGACCAGCCCUCUGCAGAUGUGAGCAGUCAGGGAGUGCAGGGGCUGAAUGGGUUCAUUCACUGCUCAGUAGAGUGGGAAACUGUGCCUGUUUUCCUCAAAGCCAUUUGCUUUUCCUACAGAAGUUUCAUUAUAGUGCCUUUGCCAGAAAGUUGUCAGCCCUGGUUUUGAUGGUCUCUAGUGAAGAAGUUUUGAUGCCUAUGUCUUUUGUAUGUCUUGCUCUUUGUUAGUUUCUUUUUCUUUUUUUUUUUUUUUUAAGAAAACCUUGAUCUGUAAAAAUUUUCCUCGUCACUUUAAUUUACUUUGUUCAAAGAUUACCUGAUUUGAGGUGUGAUUGAACAGCAAAGGUUCUUAGGCAUUCUGCAUUGAUAAAUGUCAACAAAACCUAAUAAAAGUAACUG